rnacentral:tRNA from 1 species
GCUAUAUUAGUUUAAAUAAAGAAUGUAUAACUUGUAAUUAUAGGGAAUUAUAUAGCU